rnacentral:piRNA from 1 species
UGGAUGAGUGUGUGUGUGAAUGAA